CCUACGGGAGGCAGCAGUGAGGAAUAUUGGUCAAUGGACGAGAGUCUGAACCAGCCAAGUAGCGUGAAGGAUGACUGCCCUAUGGGCUGUAAACUUCUUUUAUAUGGGAGUAAAAUGUUCCACGUGUGGGAGUUUGUAUGGACCAUAUGAAUAAGGAUCGGCUAACUCCGUGCCAGCAGCCGCGGUAAUACGGAGGUUCCGGCCGUUAUCCGGGUUUAUUGGGUUUAAAGGGGGCGUAGGUGGAUUGUUAAGUCCGUUGUGAAAGUUUGCGGCUCAACCGUGAAAUUGCAGUUGAAACUGGCAGUCUUGAGUACAGUAGAGGUGGGCGGAAUUCGUGGUGUAGCGGUGAAAUGCAUAGAUAUCACGAAGAACUCCGAUUGCGAAGGCAGCUCACUGGACUGCAACUGACACUGAGGCUCGAAAGUGUGGGUAUCAAACAGGAUGAGAUACCCCAGUAGUC
rnacentral:rRNA from 1 species